AUACGGGGCUAAUGUCUUGUAAUUGGAAUGAUGGGAAUUUAAACCUCUUCCAGAGUAUCAAUUGGAGGGCAAGUCUGGUGCCAGCAGCCGCGGUAAUUCCAGCUCCAAUAGCGUAUAUUAAAAUUGUUGCAGUUAAAAAGCUCGUAGUUGAAUUUCUGCUGCAUUGCAUUUUCUCCUAUACGAGUUUUUGCAUUGUGGCUUAUUUCGGUUAUAAAAUUUAUUUUUAUUUCCGGAUGUUUACUUUGAGAAAAUUAGAGUGCUCAAAGCAGGCUUUUGCCUUGAAUAGUUUAGCAUGGAAUAAUAAAGUAGGACUUUGGUUCUAUUUUGUUGGUUUUAGGUACCAAAGUAAUGGUUAAUAGGAACAGUUGG
rnacentral:rRNA from 1 species